GACGAACGCUGGCGGCGUGCCUAACACAUGCAAGUCGAACGGGUGUAGCAAUACAUUAGUGGCAAACGGGUGAGUAACACGUAAGCAACCUACCUCAAAGACUGGAACAACUAGUCGAAAGAUUGGCUAAUCCCAGAUGUGUCAAGAUGAACGCAUGUUCAUCUUGGUAAAUCCCGCAAGGGGCUUUGAGAAGGGCUUGCGUCCUAUCAGCUUGUUGGCGGGGUAACGGCCCACCAAGGCGAUGACGGGUAGCUGGUCUGAGAGGACGACCAGUCACAAGGGAACUGAGACACGGUCCCUACUCCUACGGGAGGCAG
rnacentral:rRNA from 1 species